rnacentral:rRNA from 1 species
AUGAAUAGAUUCUGUUCAUGGAUUAACAAAAAUGUGCAAGAGCUCUAUUUGCCUUUGCCAUUCUAUGAGUCGCUUCCUUUUGCCCCACUCCCUUCGGCAGCAUCUACUAAUUCAGAACUUAAUUUGAAAGCCAUAUUUCGACCUGGAUGCUUUUGGGAUGCUUCUAAUAACCAACAAUGGCAAGUGCUCUUUCUUGUUUAG